GACGAACGCUGGCGGCGUGCCUAAUACAUGCAAGUCGAGCGGAGAGUCUCUGGUUCUUGCAGUAGCACAACUUAGCGGCGGGCGGGUGAGAAACACGUAAAGUACCUGCGUCAUAGACAUGAACACCGGUUGGAAACGCUAACUAAUGAUGGAUAACAGCACUAACUGCAGGGGGUAUGUUAAAAAGGUGGGUUUGGUAACACUACGCGAUGGAUUUGCGUUGCAUUGGCUGGUUGGUGGGGUAAGGGCCUACCAGGGCGACGAUGCAUAGCCGACCUGAGAGGGUGAUCGGCGGCCCUGGGACUGAGCCACGGCCCUGACUCCUGCGGGAGGCACCAGUAGGGAAUCUGCCGCAGUGGGCGGAAGCCUGACGGAGCAACGCCGCGUGCGUGAAGAAGGCGUUCGGUUCGUAAAGCUCUGUUGUUAGGGAAGAAUGACUGUGUAGUAACUAGACACGGUAGUGACGGUAACGAGUCAGAAAGCACCGGCUAACUACGUG
rnacentral:rRNA from 1 species